rnacentral:lncRNA from 1 species
UCAUCUGUGUAUGAUGUAGAACUGGACAUACUAAACCCAGCUCAGCCCAAUGGCUUUAUGGAAGGACACCUCAAGUUUCUUGUACCAGGUCUUGUUGUGACUGCUUUAGGGACACAGGGCGCAGACCCUGUGCUUGUGCUUGUAGAUGGUUUGGGUCUUUCUUGGCUUACUGGUUCUGGCCCAGAUGUAUCCAAGAUGACUCCACACUGUCCAGGAGCCAUGGUAGUUUGGGCACAGCACAAAUAGAUGACCCACAUUUGCAUCUGAUGCUGUAUAUGACAAGUGAACCCCUAUGGAGCUGAAGGCUGCAGCUCUGCAGCAACCAGUCUGGGAAUAGGACUGAGCUGCAGGUACUUAAACUUGAGCUUUUUGCAGAAACUUUAAGGUUCCCUUCCCUGAGUUCCUCAAUCCUGUCCUGCCAGAGACAUCCCGGUACCUGGGUACUGCAACCUGGCUGCAAACUUAAAAGCUAAAAUGACCAAAUCAAAGCUAAACAUGUAUUGGUAACUUCUUAAUGUUUUAUCAUAAUCAAUUGUGAUUUUCUUGCAAAAUUUUUCAGUGUUGUGGAAUCAGCGUUCACUAUAAGGAGACUGAUGCUUCGGAAAAAAUUCAAGCAGCUCUGAUUAUUUUUUUUUCCCCACAAACUCUUGUCUGGCAUGGGAGGACUUGGAACAGAGCGAUACUGGCUCCGGCGACAACAGGAAACCGCGUUUUGGAUAACCCAUCACAGUGCAAGCUUUCCAGCCGUUUAAGGGCUUUUCUGUGGGGGGUGGGAAGGAAAGGCUGUCCAUCAUCCAAAGUCCCAUUGCAGUCAGUGGGAACAGCGCCUGUGACCGCAAAGGUCUUUGGCAAAGACCACGAGCAUCUGAAGGCUGCCUCUGAGAAACGGGCAUGGGCUCGCAGCUCCCCAUGGGGGUGCAGCCCAGAAGUGGCUUCAGGAAGAGAGAGUGCUCUUUUACUGGUCAUCUCAGUGCAUCAUUCAUUAAAUAUAAGGCCCUACAGGAAAACCAGGGCUUCGUGUUCUCCGUGCCCCUCCUGCAUCAGCCCUGACGUCAGUCGUUUCAAACCAUGGAAGUUAAAUUGA